AUUUUUUUUUCAGUCAAGCAUUUUUAAAUUAAGUGUGCACACUUUGAUGAAGCCAGCUGCCACAUUAGAGAAGUCCAUGUGACAAAGGAGCCUUCAGCGCAUAGCCAGGGAGGAAUCAAGAUCCUCAGCCCAACAAGCUUGGCAGGAGGAACUGAAUCCUGCCAAAGCCAUGUGGGCUUGGAAGCAGAUCUUUCCCCCAACGGAGCCUUUAGAGGAGACCACACUGCCUCUGUCAACACCUUAACUACAGCCUUGCGGGAGACCCUGAAUCAGAGGAA
rnacentral:lncRNA from 10 species